GACGAACGCUGGCGGCGUGCCUAACACAUGCAAGUCGAACGGGGUGAUUCCUUCGGGGAUCGCUUAGUGGCGAACGGGUGAGUAACGCGUGAGAAACCUGCCUCUCAGUGGGGGACAACAGUUGGAAACGACUGCUAAUACCGCAUAAUGUAUUCGGAGGGCAUCCUCUGAAUACCAAAGCUUUAUGUGCUGAGAGAUGGUCUCGCGUCUGAUUAGAUAGUUGGUGAGGUAACGGCUCACCAAGUCGACGAUCAGUAGCCGGACUGAGAGGUUGAACGGCCACAUUGGGACUGAGACACGGCCCAGACUCCUACGGGAGGCAGCAGUGAGGGAUAUUGCACAAUGGGCGCAAGCCUGAUGCAGCAACGCCGCGUGAGGGAUGACGGUUUUCGGAUUGUAAACUUCUUUUAGCAGGGACGAAGGACGUGACGGUACCUGCAGAAAAAGCAAACGGCUAACUACGUG
rnacentral:rRNA from 1 species